CAAACCAUCCUUCACCCCAAACCAUCCUUCACCCCGGGAGAAGAGGAGGGUUGUGGAGCCACCAACGACUCUGACACAUCCCAAACUGGGGCCUGAAGAGCUGCCCCACUACAAUGCCCAGGGCACACUGAUGUGGAAAAGCCCCACAUGCCAGGGAACCAGCUCUGAAUGACGUGGUAACAGUGACUGAGAAAUGCAAAAAGGUCACAAGUCUGAUUCUUUCUAAACAACUGACUGAGCCCCCAAAAUCUUUGCAAGGUGCUCUGCAGAAACAAUGUUAAAAAACCACCACAGCUCUGCUACAGGAGGACUGACCCAGGGGAAGAAUAAGGAGUCCAAGAUAACCCCAAAUGCAUCUCCAGGAACUUAUUUAGGGAAUUCUAGAAGGAGUAGCUUGUACUACAACGGAGGGCUGGAGGAGGGAAGAAAAGCCCGGCCCAUUGCCAAAGGCACCCCCCUUGUCUGUGAGUCACCGCUUGACUCUGCCUGCGGGACAGGAGCCAUCUGACAACAAUAGGAGUCUGCACUUUGCAUCCCAGAGUUCAACAAGCUCACG